UUUAACCUGAACAGGCAGACAGGAUCUCAGCUGUGUCCUACCAUUGGCAUCUGGAAUCCCCUGACUGUCCUUUAUCUGAGAGAGGAAACAAGCGGAACAGCAGAGCCCAUUGCAAGCGUGAGCUGGGACUUGACUGGUUUCUUCUCCACUGGCCCACGCCUCUCACUCCUCCUGGUCUGACCUCCUCUCAUUGGGGUAUGGUUCCACGGACAUGGGUUGCCCUUUGUUGUCGCUGAUGGCUUGUUUGAUAAAUCCUCAGCCAAAGGAACAAAAGGCAAAAUCCCGCAGAUGUUGGAAAUCUGAAAUAA